rnacentral:rRNA from 1 species
CGCCUGUUUAUCAAAAACAUCUUUUCUCGUUAGUUUUUGAAGUAUGGCCUGCCCACUGACCUUGAAUGUUGAAGGGCCGCGGUAUUUUGACCGUGCAAAGGUAGCAUAGUCAUUAGUUCUUUAAUUGUGAUCUGGUAUGAAUGGCUUGACGAGGCAUGAGCUGUCUUAAUUUUGAAUUGUUUAUUGAAUUUGGUCUUUGAGUUAAAAUUCUUAGAUGUUUUUAUGGGACGAGAAGACCCUAUAGAGUUUAACAUUUAUUAUGGUCUCUUUCUGUUUGUGAGGGUUCAUUAGGGCUGUUUAAUAUGUUUUGUUGGGGUGAUGGGAGGGAUAUUAUUUAACCCCUCCUUUUUGUUGUUAUAUUUAUUUAUAUUUGCUUGAUCCAUUUAUUUUGAUUGUAAGAUUAAAUUACCUUAGGGAUAACAGCGUAA